CACGGGUGAGUAACACGUAUCCAACCUGCCGUCUACUCUUGGACAGCCUUCUGAAAGGAAGAUUAAUACAAGAUGGCAUCAUGAGUCCGCAUGUUCACAUGAUUAAAGGUAUUCCGGUAGACGAUGGGGAUGCGUUCCAUUAGAUAGUAGGCGGGGUAACGGCCCACCAAGACUACGAUGGAUAGGGGUUCUGAGAGGAAGGUCCCCCACAUUGGAACUGAGACACGGUCCAA
rnacentral:rRNA from 1 species